rnacentral:rRNA from 1 species
AGAGUUUGAUCCUGGCUCAGGACGAACGCUGGCGGCGUGCUUAACACAUGCAAGUCAAGGGGGCUCGCAAGAGCAACCGGCGAACGGGUGCGUAACACGUGAGCAACCUGCCUAAGUGUGGGGGAUAGCCGGCCCAACGGCCGGGUAAUACCGCAUACGAUCACUAGUCGGCAUCGACAUGUGAUGAAACUUUCGAGGCACUUAGAGGGGCUCGCGGCCUAUCAGCUUGUUGGUGGGGUAAUGGCCUACCAAGGCGACGACGGGUAGCUGGUCUGAGAGGAUGGCCAGCCACAUUGGGACUGAGAUACGGCCCAGACUCCUACGGGAGGCAGCAGUGGGGAAUAUUGCGCAAUGGGCGAAAGCCUGACGCAGCGACGCCGCGUGGGGGAUGAAGCAUUUCGGUGUGUAAACCCCUGNUUGCUCGGGACGAACAACUGGUUUUGACCAGUCUGACGGUACCGGGUGAGGAAGCACCGGCUAACUCCGUGCCAGCAGCCGCGGUAAUACGGAGGGUGCGAGCGUUGUCCGGAAUCACUGGGCGUAAAGGGCGCGUAGGCGGUCUGCUAAGCGUGUGGUGAAAGCUCGGGGCUCAACCCCGAGUCUGCCAUGCGAACUGGUGGACUUGAGCACUGUANAGGCAGGUGGAAUUCCGGGUGUAGCGGUGGAAUGCGUAGAGAUCCGGAAGAACACCAGUGGCGAANGCGGCCUGCUGGGCA